CAGACGGAUAACAUCAGAUUUGUGCCGACGUUAAAGGGGCAGUCUGGAAAUAACAACUCCACUGUAUCUCGCUCCACUUGUAUGUCGGCAGUAACCCAAAGUUCCACUAACGGGCUAACGCUAAAGAAAAACGACCAUAAUACAAAGACGCUAUCGAUUGAAGUCACAGGCAAAUCUGAUGUCACCACUAUUGCACUGGAGGCUAGUACAUCUAGACUAGCGCUUCCUACAGUAGACACCAGGCAAAUAUCAGAUGGGACCAAGCUAUGUGGAAAAUGACGUUUACUACGAAUCAUUGAAAAUAAAAUCUGGAGAGAAGUGAAUAUUGUUUAUUUACAGUGACGAUAGGGUAAAAACAUAGCUAUAUAUGACAUUUGUAAUUACUUUUCUGUCGUGUGUCUUCUCAUUCGUGUUUAAUCAACGUGUGGAUAUCGUUGUUUAUUGUGACGAUAGGGUAAAAAUAUUGUUAAGAGUGACAUUUGUAAUGACGUUUCUUCCGUGUGUUCUCACAUUCGUGUUAAAUCAACGUGUGAAUAUCGCUUGUUUAUUGUGACGAUAGGGUCAAAGCACUGUUGAGAUUGACGUUUGUAAUUUCGUUUCUAUCAAUAUAACCUGAAAUUGUGCGUCAUCAAAACGUGUAUUGGUGGCCGCGGCCUUACACAGAAGUGGAGUAUGAUUUUCAUACUGUUUCGAGUGUAUGAUAAGGACGAUGUGUAACCACAUUCAGACCCAUCAGGUUUGUGACGUGAUUCCAACAACCACAACCGCUCGUAACACAAGUGAUUGAUAUCCAUUAGAAAUGAUUUGUGUUCCUUUAGGAUAUUUACAUUUCUAAGAGAAACAUAAACAAAGCGAUAGUUGUUUGAUGUGUAAGGUGUAAUAAGUAGUUAUACCAUUAUUUCAUUGUAAAUAGUAAGUAUGUAGGUAAUUUGUUAUCAACCGUAGCUUUAUUCAUAAGUUGUAACUAAUAGUUGUAUAUGUAAGUUGUAAUAAGUAGUAAAUCUUUAAUUGCAGUUAGUAAUAUGAUACGUAAAUUCUUAUCAACUGUUGCUGCACGUGUUAAUUGUAAAAAGAUGUAACUAAAUAGAAAUAAGAUUAUACGUGUGCAAUUAUAAAAGUACCUAUACGGAUGUUAUGAUAAGAUCUUUUUACAUUUUGUUUAUAUAUAAAAUGGAUAUGUCCUGUGAUUUUUUAUAUUGUAAAAACAUUUUCUGGUGAUCUGUCGUGUAACAAGUGUUUUGAACAUUGUUUUGUUUAUGUAGAGAACAGAAGACCUCGACAGAAGAGUAUUAAUGUAACAAAAUUCAACAAGUAAAUAAAUA